rnacentral:rRNA from 1 species
AUUGAACGCUGGCGGCAGGCCUAACACAUGCAAGUCGAACGAGUGGCGGACGUGUGAGUAAUGUCUGGGAAACCGCCCGAUGGAGGGGGAUAACUACUGGAAACGGUAGCUAAUACCGCAUACCAUCGGAUGUGCCCAGAUGGGACUGGCUAGUAGGUGGGUUAACGGCUCACCAAGGCGACGAUCCCUCGCUGGUCUGAGAGGAUGACCAGCAACACUGGAACUGAGACACAGUCGAGACGCCUGCGGAAGGAAGCAGUGGGGAAGAUUGCGCAAUGGGGACAAGCCUGAUGCAGACAUGCCGCGUGAAUGAAGAAGGCCUUCGGGUUGUAAAGUACUUUCAGCGAGGAGGCGUUACUCGCAGAAAAAGCACCGGCUAACUCCGUGCCAGCAGCCGCGGUAAUUC